AGCACUUGUUUGUUCGCUUUUGUUACUGAGCAAAAGUGAUUAGACAAGUGCAAAAAAUAAAUCCUCUUUUGCAACCCAGAGCUCAUUGUUCAGUAUGAGUUUUGAUACAUAUAAGAAGGAACAUG
rnacentral:snoRNA from 12 species